rnacentral:rRNA from 1 species
GACGAACGCUGGCGGCGUGCUUAACACAUGCAAGUCGAACGGAAAGGCCCUGCUUUUGUGGGGUGCUCGCGUGGCGAACGGGUGAGUAACACGUGAGUAACCUGCCCUUGACUUUGGGAUAACUUCAGGAAACUGGGGCUAAUACCGGAUAGGAGCUCCUGCUGCAUGGUGGGGGUUGGAAAGUUUCGGCGGUUGGGGAUGGACUCGGGGCUUAUCAGCUUGUUGGUGGGGUAGUGGCUUACCAAGGCUUUGACGGGUAGCCGGCCUGAGAGGGUGACCGGCCUCAUGGGUACUGAGGUACGGCCCAGACUCCAACGGGAGGCAGCAGUGGGGAAUAUUGUACAAUGGUGGGAAGCCUGAUGCAGCAACGCCGCGUGCGUGAUGACGGCCUUCGGGUUGUAAAGCGCAGUCGCCUGUGACGAAGCGUGAGUGACGGUAAUGGGAAAAGAAGCACCGGCUAACUACGUG